rnacentral:tRNA from 1 species
AGGGUCUUAGCUUAAUUAAAGUAUCUGGGUUGCAUUCAGGUGAUGUUAGAUAAAGUCUUGCAGGUCUUA